UAGGUUGUAGGGGUGGGUAAUUAUUGAUGUAAUCAGAUGGCAUACGUAAGUCCGAGUAAUAAGUGACAGUGUGUGCAUGUUACGUAUGUAGGUUGUAGGGGUGGGUAAUUAUUGAUGUAAUCAGAUGGCAUAAGUAAGUCUGAGUAAUAAGUGACAGUGUGUGCAUGUUACGUAUGUAGGUUGUAGGGGUGGGUAAUUAUUGAUGUAAUUAGAUGACAUAAGUAAGUCUGAGUAUCACUUAUGAGGAUAACGUUAUGUGUACCUUACUUUUAUUUUAUUAUACUAUAUAUUGCCAUAUGGGUAAUUGUUUGCUGUAAAUAAUGAUUUGUGUGUCAUGAAGCUGGUCUGACCCACGGCACUAGAUAACGACCGCCGGUAAUAGGGGUGCAUAGUAGGUGGUUGCAAGUGCCUCUUAACAAUGCCAGACGUAACUACUGGACACUCCCCGAAGUGGUCAGACUAAGCCCCCAGGUAAAAGCUGAUGUGGAAUGGCAGGUGUGUGACACAGAUAGCCACAAGAGACAAGCUACUGUCGCGGUUGGAGAGACAAGGAGUGGGAUGUGCAGGUGGACAGCGAAAUAAGGUGAUAGAUAGGAGGUGUUUCCAGACCGGGAAGAAAUGAGAUGGAAUUCAAAGGAGAGAAAGGAAAGGGGGCAGUGGGAUAUAUAUGUUUUAAAAAAAAGAGAAAACAAGUUGUUUUAGAAGUGUUUAUGUAUAGUUGUAAAUAUAUUUUAAUAAUGCCUUUUUUGCUUAUAGGAUUUGUUAAGACUGUAUUUGACCUAUUCUCCGUAAUAAAGAACCCUUUUAAACCAUC